rnacentral:tRNA from 1 species
AGCACUGUAGACAAAUGGCAAAGUCCGUAGGUUUAGGCCCUAUGUGCAAGUUAAAAGCUUGGUAGGGGUUCGAGUCCCCUCAGUGCUACAA